UUUCAGUUCGAGGGCAUUGUGGGAAGUAGCCAUGGUCUGAGGCUGUCGCCUCACCUGUCAGCCGGUGUGGCUGCUACGCUCUCCCCUGGCUGUCGCAUCCUGGGCGAUCACAGCUGUCGCAACCCGGGCGGCUGCGGCCACCAUGAUACAUUUCAUCUUGCUCUUCAGUCGACAAGGGAAACUUCGGCUUCAGAAAUGGUACACCACGCUCCCUGACAAGGAGAGGAAGAAGAUCACCCGGGAGAUCAUCCAGGCUGUCCUUUCUCGUGGGCACAGGACAAGCAGUUUCAUUGACUGGAAGGAGCUGAAACUUGUUUAUAAAAGGUAUGCUAGUUUAUAUUUUUGCUGUGCAAUAGAAAAUCAGGACAAUGAGCUCUUGACACUAGAGAUUGUACAUCGUUAUGUGGAGUUGCUGGACAAGUACUUUGGAAAUGUCUGUGAGCUGGAUAUUAUCUUUAAUUUUGAAAAGGCGUAUUUUAUCCUUGAUGAAUUUAUAAUAGGUGGAGAAAUUCAGGAAACAUCCAAGAAAACGGCAGUCAAGGCCAUUGAAGACUCUGAUAUGUUACAGGAGCAGGUCAAGAGUCAAGAGGAUUUCAAGAAUUAUAAAGUACCCUUUUAAAAUUGGUACUAAGGCCAUUCUUCCUGCUAUUUGGAAAUAAGAGACUGAUUAAGUUAAUAAGACAUUAGGCAUGAUUUCCCAGCAACUGUCUUGGCAAUACUUUGAGCUGAUUACUUACUCCUGCCCAUGGAGGGACUCCAUCCUCAGACAAUGGAAGAAUACAUGAACAAGCCCACGUUUUAACUGUGCCAUCUACUUGAAGAUUCUGAGUGCUUCGUGUUGGGAAUCAACCAAUGAGCAACUCUUUGCAUCCAGUCUCCACACAGCUUCUGGCUCCAUGCCAAAAAUAACUUAAAGGG